rnacentral:lncRNA from 1 species
AAAUAAAUAAAAUAUGGCUGUAAUAAGAUAAAAUAGGACAAAAUACACACGCUGGGGGUUGAACCCCUGACCUUGGGGUCAUGUGGGGAUCAACCCCUUCUCUCACUGGGCCAAGCGCUCAGUGGUGUUAACCAAACACGCUCAAAAGAAUAAAUAAUAAAACAAUAACUAAAAAUGAAAAUGCGCGCUAAUGAACCAAUCAGCACAUGACAACACUAAAAUUCAAAUUCAAAAUGCGGGAAC